CCCCCCGCCCCCCUUUUUGGAAAGGCAGCCUCAAAUUCCAGAAAUGGAGGCUCCAGCCUCCCACUAGGGGCUAAUCCCGCCAUCCCUUGGGAGCUCAGGUGGUUGGAAAGCCUCUUCUCAGCUGCCAGACUGGAGUUGGAGAGUUUCAGCCAACUUCUCUCUCUCCUGAAAUCAGUGGGGGUGGAGAAUGACUGGUUAUCAUCUUCUCUGCACUGGCCCUUUGGAGAUUCAGGGACCCAGUUCUGGCUGCAUCACCCUCUCUGUCCUCCUGGCGCUGAAGAGUGGGCUGGAUCAGACCACCAUCUCCCCUACAGGAGAGAGAGCAGAAAUAGGCAGACAGACUGACAGACAGCUGGCCCCUGGACUCGAGGCAGAAAGGCCCUUCUCACUUCUGUACGUUUCUAUGAUGGGUCCAGCCCCAGUGCCCUCCGCCUCUAGCUCACCCUUCAGCCUGUCCCCUCUUGUUCUAAGCCAGCCCAUGCAGCUGAGCAGUCCCUGCAGAGGGUGAGGCCUGCGCUGCUCCAUGAAUGGAUAUGAGGCCUCCUCCUGGGUCUGGCUCCUGCAUAGCUCAUCCCCACUGAUCAUCAGCCUCAACUGCCUACAUCUGGGCCAAGGGGCUGCAGAGGGGAUAGUCAACCUGCCCAUUUGGGACAGGUCCCCUGCGCUCUUCCUCCAUCCUCGGCACCCACAGCCUCUGUCCCCUGGCAUGGUCCCUGUUCUUCCCUGGGUCACAGAGAGCAGGGCAAGACAACCUGGGGAAGAGGAAUAAAGGCCCCAGCCUGCCCUAGUGGUCUGGCAGCAUCCAGCCUCCAUCCCUUAGAAGGAUGCCCAUGAGGAAAUCGGCCCUGAGAGAAGCCUGGUGGUGCCAGCUGAAGCCCCUGAUGGAGAGUUGGCAGGCUUGGGCAGCUGCUUCUAUGUCGAGGUGGUGGCUUCUCUGCAGACCAGCCCAGGGGAGGACUCCAGGGUGGAUGGCCUUCAAGGUUCACCCUUCACUGACGCAGAAGCUCCCAGAACACUCAGGAAACCUCUACGGACAGAGCCCUCUUUGUCAACCCGAGACCCAUCCCAAGGCCUCUACUGCCCUCUGGGUCCAGCAGAGGGGGUGGAGGAGGGGCCACUCCUUCCCACCUAGAGCUUCUUCGAAUGACAAUCAGCUCGUGCCAGGUGGGGACCAGGGCAUGACCCCUGGUGCCCAGGUCCUGGGCCUGUUCCUUGCCACCAACCGAACUGUGAAUGUAGGGCCCCCCAGCCUCACCCCUGCCCCAGGACCAACAACACCCUGGUUUGGUGUUGGGAGGAAAAAGGGGGCGGCCUGAGAGAGCCCCAAACCCAUCCCACACUCUAGCUUCAUCCAGCACUCGAGCUGGGCAGAGACACAAAACCCUGUCUGCCCUUGGGAUUCCGGACCUCCCUAGGGCUCCCAACUGACCUCAGGCCUCUGCGUCAUUGAAUGUCACCGAGGUGGGGGAGGAGAGGAGGGGGCAAGUGUGUGGGGGAGCUAGGGUACUGACUCUGCCCCUCCCCGCCCCAGAAGGGUCUAGGGCAGAGGAAAACACCACCUUCCAGUGCCCCCAUCUCCCACUGCAGUCUCCUCCCCCUUGGGCACCCAUUCCUGCCCACCAAGCCCUCCCAGUCUUGAGCCCCUUCUCUAUAAAAGUGUUACACCACCACCACACCCUCCAGCAUUUCCCCAUUGCCACCGCCUGUGUCACUGGCUCAGAUGCAGGUCUGCUCACCCCAGAACAUGCCUCCCCUCCCCAGCUGCACUGUGCACGAAGAGGGUGCAGGUGAGGAGCUGUGCCCCCAAUAUGUGGGCUGCCCCCUUCCCAGCUUCUCGCAGGGGCCUGGCUUGUGCAGUCUUCUCAGCUGGGGUGGGGUCAGGGGGAAUCCGCCCUGGUGAGCAUGGGGUGAGGGGCAGGGAGUUGCCCUUCCCCUCCCUGGGGAAGCCACUGAAGAAUGUUUACAUGCCAAACAGAAUGUAACACCCUCCCCCACCCCUCCUAGUCACUGCAUGGCCUCUGCCCACCUUGCACCUGUACAUCCCCACCCCAGCACCCUGGAAGCCGCUGUCAUGAUUAGAUCGGGUCUCGGAAGGGAAGUAGCCAUCACACCAUUAAAAAGCCUGUGGAC
ensembl:lncRNA